rnacentral:rRNA from 1 species
CCUACGGGCGGCAGCAGUGGGGAAUAUUGCACAAUGGGGGAAACCCUGAUGCAGCGACGCCGCGUGAGUGAAGAAGUAUUUCGGUACGUAAAGCUCUAUCAGCAGGGAAGAAAAUGACGGUACCUGACUAAGAAGCCCCGGCUAACUACGUGCCAGCAGCCGCGGUAAUACGUAGGGGGCAAGCGUUAUCCGGAUUUACUGGGUGUAAAGGGAGCGUAGACGGCAGCGCAAGUCUGGAGUGAAAUCCCAUGGCUUAACCAUGGAACUGCUUGGGAAACUGUGCAGCUAGAGUGCAGGAGAGGUAAGCGGAAUUCCUAGUGUAGCGGUGAAAUGCGUAGAUAUUAGGAGGAACACCAGUGGCGAAGGCGGCUUACUGGACUGUAACUGACGUUGAGGCUCGAAAGCGUGGGGAGCAAACAGGAUUAGAUACCCCUGUAGUC